rnacentral:tRNA from 1 species
GAGGGUAUAGCUCGGUAGUUAGAGUACAUGCUUAGGAUGCAGGAGGUCCUGGCUUCAAUCCCCAGCACCUCCA